rnacentral:rRNA from 2 species
UGGGGGAUAUUGCACAAUGGGGGAAACCCUGAUGCAGCAACGCCGCGUGAGGGAAGAAGGUUUUCGGAUUGUAAACCUCUGUUCUUAGUGACGAUAAUGACGGUAGCUAAGGAGAAAGCUCCGGCUAACUACGUGCCAGCAGCCGCGGUAAUACGUAGGGAGCAAGCGUUGUCCGGAUUUACUGGGUGUAAAGGGUGCGUAGGCGGCAAAGCAAGUCAGGCGUGAAAUCUGAGGGCUUAACCCUCAAACUGCGUUUGAAACUGUUUUGCUUGAGUGAAGUAGAGGUAGGCGGAAUUCCCGGUGUAGCGGUGAAAUGCGUAGAGAUCGGGAGGAACACCAGUGGCGAAGGCGGCCUACUGGGCUUUAACUGACGCUGAAGCACGAAAGCAUGGGUAGCAAACAGG